GAUGAUCGCAGGCGGUGCGUCUAAUACAUGAAAGUAGAGAGAACAGACGAGGAGAUCGCUCCACAGACGUUAGCGGCGGAUGGGUGAGUAACACGAGGAUAACCUUCCUAUAAGCCUGGGAUAAACUCGGGAUACCGGAGCUAAUACCGGAUAACAUAUCGAAACGCAUGGUCCCUUAGUGCAAGACGGUCUUGCUGUAACUUAUAGAUGGAUCCGCGCCGCAUUAGCUAGUUGGUAAGGUAACGGCUUACCAAGGCAACGAUGCGUGGCCGACCUGAGAGGGUGAUCGGCCACACUGGAACUGAGUGACUGUCCAGACUCCUACGGGAUGCAGCAGUAGGGAAACUUCCGCAAAGGGCGAAAGCCUGACGAGGCAACGCCGCGUGGGUGAUGAAGGUCUUCGGAUCGUAAAACUCGGUUAAUAGGGAAGAUCAAAUGUGUAAGUAACUAUGCACAUCUUGACAGUACCUAAUCAGAAGGCCACGGCUAACUACGUG
rnacentral:rRNA from 1 species